rnacentral:rRNA from 1 species
UUCCCAGUGUAGCGGUGAAAUGCGUAGAUAUUGGGAAGAGCAUCGGUGGCGAAGGCGUGCUACUGGACCGUAACUGACACUCAGGGACGAAAGCUAGGGGAGCGAAAGGGAUUAGAUACCCCUGUAGUCCUAGCUGUAAACGAUGGAAACUAGGUGUGGCUUGUAUCGACCCGAGCCGUGCCGUAGCUAACGCGUUAAGUUUCCCGCCUGGGGAGUACGCACGCAAGUGUGAAACUCAAAGGAAUUGACGGGGGCCCGCACAAGCGGUGGAGUAUGUGGUUUAAUUCGAUGCAACGCGAAGAACCUUACCAGGGCUUGACAUGUCGCGAAUCUCGGUGAAAGCUGAGAGUGCCUUCGGGAGCGCGAACACAGGUGGUGCAUGGCUGUCGUCAGCUCGUGUCGUGAGAUGUUGGGUUAAGUCCCGCAACGAGCGCAACCCUUAUUUUUAGUUGCCAGCAUUAAGAUGGGCACUCUAGAAAGACUGCCGGUGACAAACCGGAGGAAGGUGAGGACGACGUCAAGUCAGCAUGCCCCUUACGCCCUGGGCUACACACGUACUACAAUGGUUGGGACAAAGGGCAGCGACUCCGCAAGGAAUAGCGAAUCUCAUCAAACCCAGCCUCAGUUCAGAUUGCAGGCUGCAACUCGCCUGCAUGAAGGAGGAAUCGCUAGUAAUCGCAGGUCAGCAUACUGCGGUGAAUUCGUUCCCGGGCCUUGUACACGCCGCCCGUCACACCAUGGAAGCUGGUCACGCCCGAAGUAGUUACCCUAACCUUUCGAGGAGGGGGAUUCCUAAGGCAGGGCUAGUGACUGGGGUGAAGUCGUAACAAGGUAGCC